UACGGGGGGGAGCAAGCGUUGUUCGGAUUUACUGGGCGUAAAGGGCGCGUAGGCGGUCGUGACAAGUCACUUGUGAAAUCUCCGGGCUUAACUCGGAACGGUCAAGUGAUACUGUCGGACUAGAGUACAGAAGGGGCAACUGGAAUUCUCGGUGUAGCGGUGAAAUGCGUAGAUAUCGAGAGGAACACCUGCGGCGAAGGCGGGUUGCUGGGCUGAUACUGACGCUGGAGACGCGAAAGCGUGGGGAGCAAACAGG
rnacentral:rRNA from 1 species